rnacentral:rRNA from 1 species
GUGCCAGCCGCCGCGGUAACACGGAGGGAGCAAACGUUGUUCGGAAUCACUGGGCGUAAAGGGCGCGUAGGCGGCUUCUUGAGUCGAGGGUGAAAACCUAUGGCUUAACCAUAGGCCUGCCCCCGAAACUGGGGAGCUUGAGGCCGUAAGAGGAAAGCGGAAUUCCUGGUGUAUCGGUGAAAUGAGUUGAUAUCAGGAGGAACACCGGUGGCGAAGGCGGCUUUCUGGUGCGGUUCUGACGCUGAGGUGCGAAAGCAUGGGGAGCAAACGGGAUUAGAUACCCCAGUAGUCC